UGAGCAAUCUGCCCUUCUCUUCGGAAUAAGCGUUGGAAACGACGUCUAAUGCCGAAUACGACCUCCUUUCGCAUGAUCGGAGGUGGAAAGCUCCGGCGGAGAAGGAUGAGCUCGCGGCCUAUCAGCUAGUUGGUGUGGGUAAUGGCCCACCAAGGCGACGACGGGUAGCCGGCCUGAGAGGGUGACCGGCCACACGUGGGACUGAGACACGGUCCAGACUCCGUACGGGAGGNAGCG
rnacentral:rRNA from 1 species